rnacentral:miRNA from 1 species
UGCAUAGAUCAAAUCUGUAAAUUUUUAAAAAAUUUGAAAAUCAUUUGAUACUUCGUUUCAUUAAUUCAAAUUAACGGAUAAUCAUAAAAUUAUUUUAUACAUUAUUUUGAAUUAAUGAAAUGAAUUAUCAAAUGAUUUUCAAAUUUUCUAAAAAUUUGCAGAUUUGAUCUAUGAA